rnacentral:rRNA from 1 species
UACGAAGGGGGCUAGCGUUGCUCGGAAUUACUGGGCGUAAAGCGUGCGUAGACGGUUAUUUAAGUCGGGUGUGAAAGCCCCGGGCUCAACCUGGGCAUUGCAUUCGAGACUGAAUAGCUAGGGUACGGUAGAGGGAAGCGGAAUUUCCGGUGUAGCGGUGAAAUGCGUAGAUAUCGGAAGGAACAUCAGUGGCGAAAGCGGCUUCCUGGACCAGUACCGACGUUCAGGCACGAAAGCGUGGGGAGCAAACAGG